CUUGAGCGCCCUCCCAGUUGUAAAGGACAAACAUAGUGUAACGACCCUGGGUUUAUAAGAGCGGAUAUCGACUCUACCACUUGUGCAUUCCUUUGUGGCACAUUCGAUAGCGUUUGUGGCACAGUCGAUAGUGCGCUGGACUUCGGGCUAAAAGGUCGAGGGUUCGAGACCUGCUCCCUGCUGUUUCAUUACAAUAGUGAGCACAAUGGUGCCUGAGGCUAAGACCACCCUGUCUCUAGAGGCCUUGUCGUAGAUCCCCACAUGGCACUCAUAUGGUCCAUCAUCUUCCAUCUGCACCUCAGGGAGCCUGGCAACACAACAGCAAACCCAGGAAGAUAACACAGACUACUGGUCAAGCUUACCGAACAGUUGAUUGGUAGACCAGGUCUUCUCGUCUGCGGAAGUCCUCCAUAUGGGAGAAGUUGCUGUUGUACAUGGCAUCGUAGGUGAAGAUC